rnacentral:rRNA from 1 species
GGGACACGUGGUAUCCUGUCUGAAUAUGGGGGGACCAUCCUCCAAGGCUAAAUACUCCUGACUGACCGAUAGUGAACCAGUACCGUGAGGGAAAGGCGAAAAGAACCCCGGCGAGGGGAGUGAAAAAGAACCUGAAACCGUGUACGUACAAGCAGUGGGAGCACAGGUUUACCUGUGUGACUGCGUACCUUUUGUAUAAUGGGUCAGCGACUUAUAUUCUGUAGCAAGGUUAACCGAAUAGGGGAGCCGGAGGGAAACCGAGUCUUAAUUGGGCGUUAAGUUGCAGGGUAUAGACCCGAAACCCGGUGAUCUAGCCAUGGGCAGGUUGAAGGUUGGGUAACACUAACUGGAGGACCGAACCGACUAAUGUUGAAAAAUUAGCGGAUGACCUGUGGCUGGGGGUGAAAGGCCAAUCAAACCGGGAGAUAGCUGGUUCUCCCCGAAAGCUAUUUAGGUAGCGCCUCGUGAACUCAUCUCCGGGGGUAGAGCACUGUUUCGGCUAGGGGGCCAUCCCGGCUUACCAACCCGAUGCAAACUGCGAAUACCGGAGAAUGUUAUCACGGGAGACACACGGCGGGUGCUAACGUCCGUCGUGAAGAGGGAAACAACCCAGACCGCCAGCUAAGGUCCCAAAGUCAUGGUUAAGUGGGAAACGAUGUGGGAAGGCCCAGACAGCCAGGAUGUUGGCUUAGAAGCAGCCAUCAUUUAAAGAAAGCGUAAUAGCUCACUGGUCGAGUCGGCCUGCGCGGAAGAUGUAACGGGGCUAAACCAU